AAACAAUAAGUGAGGGUGUUGAAAAUACUUAUGUAUUUAAAUAUGUAUUUGUAUUUGUAUAUGUGCAUAUAAAAUGCACUCAUAAGCUUAUUAUACUUUAUUUACCAGCUUCGCAUAAUUGUAAUACUUAUAAGCAUAUUCUUGAUACAUUAAACAGUCAGUCCACUCAUAAACCUCAAACCGUCGUGUUCUUUAUUCUCUCUCUACAUAUACAUACAUAGAUUU